rnacentral:rRNA from 1 species
AACGAACGCUGGCGGCAUGCCUAACACAUGCAAGUCGAACGAAGUCUUCGGACUUAGUGGCGCACGGGUGCGUAACGCGUGGGAAUCUGCCCUUGGGUGCGGAAUAACUUCUCGAAAGGGAUGCUAAUACCGCAUAAUGUCGUAAGACCAAAGAUUUAUCGCCCAAGGAUGAGCCCGCGUAAGAUUAGCUAGUUGGUGGGGUAAAAGCCUACCAAGGCGACGAUCUUUAGCUGGUCUGAGAGGAUGAUCAGCCACACUGGGACUGAGACACGGCCCAGACUCCUACGGGAGGCGGCAGUGGGGAAUAUUGGACAAUGGGCGAAAGCCUGAUCCAGCAAUGCCGCGUGAGUGAUGAAGGCCCUAGGGUUGUAAAGCUCUUUUACCAGGGAUGAUAAUGACAGUACCUGGAGAAUAAGCUCCGGCUAACUCCGUGCCAGCAGCCGCGGUAAU